UUCGUGGAGUGAUCUGUCUGCUUAAUUGCGUUUCAAAAUUUAACUUGAGGACCGGGUUUUGGUUUGGCUAGUGGUUCUACGAUGACUGUGAACUGUCAUGUCUUCGGAUGUGCGACUAUUGGUCUAGGAUCACAUGACUUGCCCCUGGGACUCUUUUGAACGCAACGGACGUGAUUGCAACCCCUUGUUGAGAUUAGAGAUAGUCUCGAUAUUCACUGGACAAACUGGAUGCUUUAUGCAGUCUUGUUGAAUGGUGGAUAAACUCGGGGGACUGCUGACUAUAACCAUUUCUCAAAACAGAGGAAGGUUGCGGCAAUAACAGGUCUGUGAUGCCCUCAGAUGUCCCGGGCUGCACACGUGCUACAAUGAGUGGCGCAAUGUGCUAAUGUUUAAGGGAUAAGAGUGUGGUCAGUAGAACGUCGGGAUUUCCCCUGACGUCUCCCCCGCACGAUUAUCAGCCUUCCCUUAACAGGGCGGGCAACCUUUUCAAAAUACUGGUUUGAUGUUAAAGUAUUGAGUCGUUUUUUUUGGAUGGUGGUUUGUUAACCAAUACCAUCCGGCAACUGCUCGCGAGUUUGUGGUUCUGGCGACUC
rnacentral:rRNA from 1 species